CGCUCCGAAAGAACGCUUUCCGCUGGUUCUCCAGACUGAAAGCGAGAUCUAUUAGGUCCUGAGACAAGUUGUUUGAGUUAUUAUGCUCCUGAUUUCGUUCUUUGAGGAAAUCUAUCACGUCGGAAGAUUUACGGCGUAGUAAAAAAGAACCCGAGGAGUCGGUUGAGCUAUGGAACGAUUCCGUUUAUUAGCAAGCCUUUCUCCCACGAAAUCAGUUAGCAGUAGCAGAAUCUAUCCCAGAAGAGAAAUUGGGAAAAAUGUGUAUUGCGGGAAUCCGCAUUGAAUUGCGCUCGGGCUUGAUUAUUGCUGGAGGCCCUACUACUUUCGAUGAA
rnacentral:misc_RNA from 1 species